GUUGAUAAAAUUUGUCCUAGUGUGGUUAAAUAUACGACUUUCGACAGUAUAAAAGCCGCGAAAAACGCAGAAGAAGUAUAAUCAUUUCUCAAAAAAAUGAUUCCGACAGUUAUUUCCUUCAUAGUUUUUAUGACACUGGCUCUUCUAACUGGUGCUAAUAUUAUCCUCGAGACGACCAGCAAAUGCGACCCCUGUGACCGCGCGUGUCGAACUAAUGAAACCUGCAACCCAACCUAACCCCGGUUGUGAUGGCGCGAGGUCAAAUUCAAAUUCUUCUACAAAUAAACAUGUUGGAAAAUUUAUAAUUAUAUAAAAUGAAAUGUACAGAAUUUUGAAGCAAAGAAUAGCAUUCGACGCUAAAUACUGUAAAGAAUAAAUAACUAACUAAAAAAACUUAAAA